rnacentral:snRNA from 1 species
UGCUCACUUCGGGAGCGAUAUACUAAAGUUGAAAUUAUACAGAGAAGAUAAGCAUGGAUCCUGCACUAGAAUGACAUGCACAUUUGUGAAGGUAAAAGCAAAUUU